rnacentral:rRNA from 1 species
GAUGAACGCUGGCGGCGUGCCUAAUACAUGCAAAUCGAGCGAACGGACGAGAAGCUUGCUUCUCUGAUGUUAGCGGCGGACGGGUGAGUAACACGUGGAUAACCUACCUAUAAGACUGGGAUAACUUCGGGAAACCGGAGCUAAUACCGGAUGAUAUUUUGAACCGCAUGGUUCAAAAGUGAAAGACGGUCUUGCUGUCACUUAUAGAUGGAUCCGCGCUGCAUUAGCUAGUUGGUAAGGUAACGGCUUACCAAGGCAACGAUGCAUAGCCGACCUGAGAGGGUGAUCGGCCACACUGGAACUGAGACACGGUCCAGACUCCUACGGGAGGCAGCAGUAGGGAAUCUUCCGCAAUGGGCGAAAGCCUGACGGAGCAACGCCGCGUGAGUGAUGAAGGUCUUCGGAUCGUAAAACUCUGUUAUUAGGGAAGAACAUAUGUGUAAGUAACUGUGCACAUCUUGACGGUACCUAAUCAGAAAGCCACGGCUAACUACGUG